rnacentral:rRNA from 1 species
UACGUAGGGGGCAAGCGUUGUCCGGAAUCAUUGGGCGUAAAGAGCGCGUAGGCGGUCCGGUAAGUCCGCUCUGAAAGUCCGGGGCUCAACCCCGGGAGGCGGGCGGAUACUGUCGGGCUAGAGUCCGGAAGAGGCGAGUGGAAUUCCUGGUGUAGCGGUGAAAUGCGUAGAGAUCGGGAGGAACACCAGAGGCGAAGGCGGCGACCUGGACAAGCACUGACACUCAACUACGAAAGCGUGGGUAGCAAACAGG